rnacentral:rRNA from 1 species
AUUGAACGCUGGCGGAAUGCUUUACACAUGCAAGUCGAGCGGCAGCACGGGGGCAACCCUGGUGGCGAGCGGCGAACGGGUGAGUAAUACAUCGGAACAUGCCCAGUCGUGGGGGAUAACACUUCGAAAGAAGUGCUAAUACCGCAUACGUCCUGAGGGAGAAAGCGGGGGAUCUUCGGACCUCGCGCGAUUGGAGUGGCCGAUGUCAGAUUAGCUAGUUGGUGGGGUAAAGGCCUACCAAGGCAACGAUCUGUAGCUGGUCUGAGAGGAUGAUCAGCCACGCUGGGAGGGAGACGCGGCCCAGAGUCCUACGGGAGGCAGCAUGGGGGAAUUUUGGACAAUGGGGGCAACCCUGAUCCAGCCAUUCCGCGUGAGUGAAGAAGGCCUUCGGGUUGUAAAGCUCUUUCGGCAGGAACGAAACGGCGAGCUCUAACAUAGCUUGCUAAUGACGGUACCUGAAGAAGAAGCACCGGCUAACUACGUGCCAGCCGCCGCGGUAACAC